AAGAUGACUGUAGGUGAAAGCUUACAUCUCUUCGGUAGCAUUUACGAGGUGCUGCAUGGUUGUCGUCAGCUCGUGCCGUGAGGUGUCGGGUUAAGUCCCAUAACGAGCGCAACCCCUACCUUUACGUUGCCAUCAGGUUAAGCUGGGGACUCUAAAGGAACUGCCUACGCAAGUAGUGAGGAAGGCGGGGAUGACGUCAAAUCAGCACGGCCCUUACGUCCAGGGCUACACACGUGCUACAAUGGCCGAUACAGAGGGCAGCUACCUGGUGACAGGAUGCAAAUCUCCAAAGUCGGUCUCAGUUCGGAUCGGAGUCUGCAACCCGACUCCGUGAAGUUGGAUUCGCUAGUAAUCGCGCAUCAGCCAUGGCGCGGUGAAUACGUUCCCGGGCCUU
rnacentral:rRNA from 1 species